GACGAACGCUGGCGGCGUGCUUAACACAUGCAAGUCGAACGGAAAGGCCCUGCUUUUGUGUGGUGCUCGAGUGGCGCACGGGUGAGUAUCACGUGAGUAUCCUGCCCUUGACUUUGGGAUAACUUCAGGAGACUGGGGCUAAUACCGGAUAGGAGCUCCUGCUGCAUGGUGGUGGUUGGAAAGUUUCGGCUGUUGGGGCUGGACUCGCGGGUUAUCAGCUUGUUGGGGGGGUAGUGGCUUACCAAGGCUUUGACGGGUAGCCGGCCUGAGAGGGUGACCGGGCACAUGGGGACUGCGAGACGACCCAGACUCCUACGGGAGGCAGCAGUCGGAAAUAUUGCAGAAUGGGCGGAAGCCUGAGGCAGCAACGCCGCGUGCGGGAUGACGGCCUUCGGGGUGUAAACCGCUUUCGCCUGUGACGAAGCGUGAUUGACGGUAAUGGGUAAAGAAGCACCGGCUAACUACGUG
rnacentral:rRNA from 1 species